AGUGAACGCUGGCGGUAGGCCUAACACAUGCAAGUCGAACGGCAGCACAGUAAGAGUUUGCUCUUACGGGUGGCGAGUGGCGGACGGGUGAGGAAUACAUCGGAAUCUACUUUUUCGUGGGGGAUAACGUAGGGAAACUUACGCUAAUACCGCAUACGCCCUUCGGGUGAAAGCAGGGGAUCUUCGGACCUUGCGCGUUUGAAUGAGCCGAUGUCGGAUUAGCUAGUUGGCGGGGUAAAGGCCCACCAAGGCGACGAUCCGUAGCUGGUCUGAGAGGAUGAUCAGCCACACUGGAACUGAGACACGGUCCAGACUCCUACGGGAGGCAGCAGUGGGGAAUAUUGGACAAUGGGCGCAAGCCUGAUCCAGCCAGACCGCGUGGGUGAAGAAGGCCUUCGGGUUGUAAAGCCCUUUUGUUGGGAAAGAAAAGCAGCAGGUUAAUACCCCGCUGUUCUGACGGUACCCAAAGGAUAAGCACCGGCUAACUUCGUG
rnacentral:rRNA from 1 species